GACGGAGGGUGCUAGCGUUGUUCGGAAUUACUGGGCGUAAAGGGCGCGUAGGCGGCCAACUAAGUCGGAUGUGAAAUCCCCAGGCUCAACCUGGGAACUGCAUCCGAUACUGGAUGGCUUGAAUCCGGGAGAGGGAUGCAGAAUUCCAGGUGUAGCGGUGAAAUGCGUAGAUAUCUGGAGGAAUACCGGUGGCGAAGGCGGCAUCCUGGACCGGCAUUGACGCUGAGGAGCGAAAGCUAGGGGAGCAAACGGG
rnacentral:rRNA from 1 species